rnacentral:rRNA from 1 species
UACGAAGGGUGCAAACGUUGCUCGGCAUUAUUGGGCGUAAAGCGCACGUAGGCGGCUUUUCAAGUCCCAUGUGAAAGCCCACGGCUUAACCGUGGAAGUGCAUGGGAAACUGGAGAGCUUGAGUACUUAAGAGGAUCGCGGAAUUCCCGGUGUAGAGGUGAAAUUCGUAGAUAUCGGGAGGAACACCAGUGGCGAAGGCGGCGAUCUGGGAAGAUACUGACGCUGAGGAGCGAAAGCGUGGGGAGCGAACAGG